rnacentral:rRNA from 1 species
UACAGAGGUCUCAAGCGUUGUUCGGGUUCAUUGGGCGUAAAGGGUGCGUAGGUGGCGCUGUAAGUCAGGUGUGAAAUUUCGGAGCUUAACUCCGAAACUGCAUUUGAUACUGCGGUGCUUGAGGACUGGAGAGGAGACUGGAAUUCACGGUGUAGCAGUGAAAUGCGUAGAGAUCGUGAGGAAGACCAGUGGCGAAGGCGGGUCUCUGGACAGUUCCUGACACUGAGGCAUGAAGGCCAGGGGAGCAAACGGG